GGGGAUAUAGUUCAGUUGGCAAGAACGUCUGCCUUGCAAGCAGAAGGUCACCGGUUCAAGUCCGGUUAUCUCCACCA
rnacentral:tRNA from 2 species